AUUGAACGCUGGCGGCAUGCCUUACACAUGCAAGUCGAACGGCAGCACGGGAGCAAUCCUGGUGGCGAGUGGCGAACGGGUGAGUAAUAUAUCGGAACGUGCCCAGUCGUGGGGAUAACGUAGCGAAAGCUACGCUAAUACCGCAUACGAUCUAUGGAUGAAAGCGGGGGAUCGCAAGACCUCGCGCGAUUGGAGCGGCCGAUAUCAGAUUAGGUAGUUGGUGAGGUAAAGGCUCACCAAGCCGACGAUCUGUAGCUGGUCUGAGAGGACGACCAGCCACACUGGGACUGAGACACGGCCCAGACUCCUACGGGAGGCAGCAGUGGGGAAUUUUUGGACGAUGGGCGCAAGCCUGAUCCAGCAAUGCCGCGUGCAGGAUGAAGGCCU
rnacentral:rRNA from 1 species